UGGGGAAUAUUGCACAAUGGAGGGAACUCUGAUGCAGCGACGCCGCGUGAGUGAUGAAGGAAUUCGUUUCGUAAAACUCUGUUCUAUGGGAAGAAAAGGACUGUACCAUAGGAGAAAGCUCCGGCUAAAUACGUGCCAGCAGCCGCGGUAAUACGUAUGGAGCGAGCGUUGUCCGGAAUUAUUGGGCGUAAAGGGUGCGCAGGCGGCUUUACAAGUUGGAUGUGAAAUAUUGUGGCUCAACCACAAACGUGCAUCCAAAACUGCAAAGCUUGAGUUAAGGAGAGGUAAGUGGAAUUCCUGGUGUAGCGGUGGUAUGCGUAGAUAUCAGGAGGAAUACCGGUGGCGAAGGCGACUUACUGGACUUAAACUGACGCUCAGGCACGAAAGCGUGGGGAGCAAACAGG
rnacentral:rRNA from 1 species